CAGCCGCCGCGGGAAUACGAAGGGUGCAAGCGUUACUCGGAAUUACUGGGCGUAAAGCGUGCGUAGGUGGUGGUUUAAGUCCGUUGUGAAAGCCCUGGGCUCAACCUGGGAAUUGCAGUGGAUACUGGAUCACUAGAGUGUGGUAGAGGAUAGUGGAAUUUCCGGUGUAGCAGUGAAAUGCGUAGAGAUCGGAAGGAACAUCUGUGGCGAAGGCGACUAUCUGGGCCAACACUGACACUGAGGCACGAAAGCGUGGGGAGCAGACAGGAUUAGAUACCCGAGUAGUCCCUGUCUCUUAUAC
rnacentral:rRNA from 1 species